GUGAAUCAUCGAAUUUUUGAACGCAAAUUGCACUCUCCUCGGAGAGUAUGCGUGUUUGAGGGUCAGCCUAUAAAAAAUCAACAUCGUUGCUGUUCCGCGUUGGCGUACGUCGGUAAUUGGGUCAUCUUAAAGCCUUUUGAUUUAAGCGACUUAAAAUAUUCUUUUGGUUCCAUUAAAGUCUGUAAGAUCUAUGUCUUUAUACGAUUAAGGUAUCGUUAGUUACUAC
rnacentral:misc_RNA from 1 species